ensembl:lncRNA
AUCCAUGGUGGAGACACCAGCCAGUCACUUUGAAAAGCCAAACACACCUUGUUGCCAAAUGCAGCCACAAAGGUAGAGGUCAGGAAGGGGGUUGCCACUGAUGCUGUGUCACCUCUUACGGUCUGCAGCGAAACACAUGGAAAAGCCAGCAGUCAAGAUCACGGGCUGGGCAGAACAGAGGACAGAGAACCCCAGCCGAAGACCACCAGCAGCUGCUACGUCUGCCUCCCACCGCAUCUGGCUGACUGAAAGACCUCCAGACAGCGAUGGCCACUGCUUCACUUCUGCUUCGGAAAUCUCACUCAGAAGGAAUAGACAAGAACCAAGUGACACCCAACUGACAGAGAUACCACAGCUUGAAAUGUCACCUCUCCGCCCACCAACUCCACCCCAGCCCCUGGCCACCCACAGACUCUCUUGCAAAGCAAACAGCACACUGUGUCUUCAGUGAUUCCAGAAACUUCGCCUCUUGGAACCUGCUGGAACAUUUCCAAAUCAUGAUGAAAUUAUAAUUUCUCUCAUCCACACAGUCACCAAAUGACCCAUGUGAUGAGGAAUUUGCUAUCCACUGCAGACAAGACCCAACACCAGUAGAAUAUUCUGGCCCCAAGCUGUUCAAAGGAAAGCCUCUGUUUUUAAACCUCAAAUUAAAAGUCAAUAAAGAAAUCUGGCAGCUGGCAGCAAGACAUACGUGAACUAAAACCUCAGGUUGUUGUCUUUUGCCUUUUCCUUAGAACAAGAUGGGGUUUCUGCCUCUAUAGUGAUUUGAGUCACAGCAGAGGGACCGCAACUUGUUUUAGGAUCAUAGUCAAAGCUCUCACUUGAAGAACAGUUUGUAUUGCUAUGUCAAAGCCAGGGCUGCAUAUUAAAAUAUUCCCGCUUCUUUUGUAACUUGGAGUCUCUCAUUUUUUUUCCCAAAUGUCUAUCAAAAAUAAUCUUUCUUAAAAGCAUGGCAACUUAGCCCUUGAAUCAUUAAUUUUGUUUUCCCUGUCUACUUUAAAUAUAUAUAUAUUCAAAUAUGGAGAUUGUCUUAGUUCAUUCUGGCUGCUCUAAUGACGUAUUAUCAACCGAGUGAUAUAUAUACGACAGAAAUUUAUUUCUCACAGCCUUGGAAGCUGGAAGUCAGAGAUCAGGCUGCCGGCAUGCCUGGGUCCUGGUGAGGGCUCCCUUCCAGGUUGCAGAUGACUUCCAACUUCUCAUUGCAACCUUACCUGGUAGAAAGAGAGCUACCAAGUUCUCUGGCCUCUUCUUAUAAGGACGCUAAUCCCAUUUAUGAGGGCUCCACCCUCAUGACCUCCCAAAGGCCUCAGUAUCAGGUACCGUUACCUUGGGAUUAGGGUUUCAACAUAUAAAUUUUGAGAGAAACAUCCAUCUUCAGGCCUUCGCGGAUAGAAUGCAUUAAUUCUGUUUUCAUCAUCCACUUUGAAAAUAGAGCUAUUCAAAGGUGGAUAUAAUGCAUACGUUUCCGAUUCCUUUUUAAUUGGUUAGGGUCACCUACAUAAAGGGCAGCAAACUUCUGCAACCAAAUGCAGGGCUUUACAGAGCUUGAGAGGGCUCUAUGAUUUGUCUUCUGUUAGGUAUUUAGAUUUUUUUUCCUUUUAAUCUUCUUUAUACUUUUUUUUUGAGACGGAGUUUAGCUCUUGUUACCCAGGCUGGAGUGCAAUGGCACGAUCUCGGCUCACCGCAACCUCCGCCUCCUGGGUUCAGGCAAUUCUCCUGCCUCAGCCUCCAGAGUAGCUGGAAUUACAGGCACGCGCCACCAUGCCCAGCUAAUUUUUUUAGUAGAGACGGGGUUUCACCGUGUUGACCAGGAUGGUCUCGAUCUCUUGACCUCGUGAUCCACCCGCCUCGGCCUCCCAAAGUGCUGGGAUUACAGGCUUGAGCCACUGCGCCCGGCCCUUCUUUAUACUUUUAUUUUGAACUUUCAUAUAAUUUUUUAGUUGAAAUGAAAGUUAGACUUAACUGCAGACACUUUAAGAUGAGCUCAGUCUUCUGCUCACAUACUGUCUUCAGCACCCUCAUUCCACCGGCAUCUGACACCCAGCCAAUUCUCGGUACACAUUUGCCACCUGUUUAGCAAAGAAGAAAGCCUCAAGAUGUGAAGUGACCUACCUAGGUUGCACCAUAAGGCUGACAGAGGCCGGGCCACAACCUUCUUCUGAGUCAAAUUCCAUCCCAACCUCCCUACCCAGAAAGAAAGGCUGGCUAGAUUACCUGCAGCCAGGCCCUAUGCCAGGCCCUAUGCCAGGCCCUAUGCCAGCUGUGUGGAUUUUUUGCCUGGCAAUGCCACUGGGGGCCAUGUUAAGAACAUCCUUAGUUUGGUGCAAUUUUAGACUGGUGGGUUGUUGUCUAGAAAAGUUUUCUUCUACCAGAAAGUUUUUUUUUCCUACUAGAAAAAUCAUUUUUUUCAAGCUUUGGAAGAACUUGCAAAAAAAUGUUUUUAACUUUGUUUUAAAGUCGUAAUUAAAGCUUCAAAACCCACCCCAUGUCCCAGUUCCAGUUCCCCACUUUCUAUAGGCGAGUACAGGCCUUUUUAUUCCCACC